UCUGGUUGAUCCUGCCAGUAGUGAUAUGCUUGUUUCAAAGAUUAAGCCAUGCAUGUCUAAGUAUAAGCGAACUUAUACAGUGAAACUGCGGAUGGCUCAUUAAAACAGUUUGAAUUUAUUUGAUGAAUGUAUGAGAAUACUACUUGGAUAACCGUAGUAAUUCUAGAGCUAAUACAUGCAACGACGCCCGACCGUUUCACUACGGAAGGGCUGUAUUUAUUGGAUACCAAAACCAUCCUUCCCUCGGAAGUUUUGUUUGAUGAUUCACAAUAACUGAUCGGAUCGCCACUGUGGUGGCGACAGGUCAUUCAACAUUCUGCCCUAUCAGCUUUCGAUGGUUGUGUAGUGGACAACCAUGGCCAUAACGGGUAACGGAGAAUCAGGGUUCGAUUCCGGAGAAGGAGCUUGAGAAUUGGCUACUACAUCUAAGGAAGGCAGCAGGCGCGCAAAUUACCCAAUCCCGAUUCGGGGAGGUAGUGACAAAAAAUAACAAUACCGGGCCUUUUUGGGCUUGGUAAUUGGAAUGAGGGAGAGUUAAACGGACCAUCGAGUAUCCAUUGGAGGGCAAGUCUGGUGCCAGCAGCUGCCGUAAUACCAGCUCCAAUAGCGUAUAUUAAAGUUGUUGCAGUUAAAAAGCUCGUAGUUGGACUUGUGUGCGCUGUCCGCGGGUGGCCUGCGCCCAAAAGGGCGUUUCGGUUCGGCCCCGGUGGCGCCUUGAAAUCUGCAGCUGGGGGGACGUUGGCCUUAACUGGUCGGCGACCGCACGCCGGCUGCUCGGUUACUGUGAGAAAAUUAGAGUGUUCAAGGCAGGCAUUGGGUGCAAUUGAAUACAUUAGCAUGGAAUAAUAAAAUAUGGCUCCUGCCGUAUUUUGUUGGUUUUGACUGGUGGGAGUAAUGAUUGAUAGGGACGGUUGGGGGUGCUAGUAUUGAGCGGCCAGAGGUGAAAUUCAUGGAUUCGCUCAAGACUAACUUAUGCGAAAGCAUUCACCAAGGACGUCCUCUUUAAUCAAGAACGAAAGUUGGGGGAUCGAAGACGAUCAGAUACCGUCGUAGUCUCAACCAUAAACUAUGUCGACUUGGGAUCGGCGGUAGUUUUUUCAUUAAGACACUGUCGGGACCACGGGAGAAAUCAAAGUGUCUGGACUCUGGGGGAAGUAUGGUCGCAAGGCUGAAACUUGAAGGAAUUGACGGAAGGGCACCACCAGGAGUGGAGCCUGCGGCUUAAUUUGACCCAACACGGGGAAACUUACCAGGUCCAGAGAUGUAGAGGAUUGACAGA
rnacentral:rRNA from 1 species